rnacentral:rRNA from 1 species
UACGUAGGGUGCGAGCGUUAAUCGGAAUUACUGGGCGUAAAGCGUGCGCAGGCGGUUUUGUAAGACAGAUGUGAAAUCCCCGGGCUUAACCUGGGAAUGGCAUUUGGGACUGCAAGGCUUGAGUGCGGCAGAGGAGACUGGAAUUCCUGGUGUAGCAGUGAAAUGCGUAGAUAUCAGGAGGAAUACCGAUGGCGAAGGCAGGUCUCUGGGCUGACACUGACGCUCAUGCACGAAAGCGUGGGGAGCAAACAGG